rnacentral:rRNA from 1 species
GUUGUUCGGAUUUAUUGGGCGUAAAGCGCGUGUAGGCGGUUUCUUAAGUCUGAUGUGAAAGCCCUGGGCUCAACCCAGGAAGUGCAUUGGAUACUGGGAGACUUGAAUACGGGAGAGGGUAGUGGAAUUCCUAGUGUAGGAGUGAAAUCCGUAGAUAUUAGGAGGAACACCGGUGGCGAAGGCGGCUACCUGGACCGAUAUUGACGCUGAGACGCGAAAGCGUGGGGAGCAAACAGGAUUAGAUACCCUGGUAGUCCACGCCGUAAACGAUGAGAACUAGGUGUUGCGGGUAUUGACCCCUGCAGUGCC